rnacentral:rRNA from 1 species
AUUGAACGCUGGCGGCAGGCUUAACACAUGCAAGUCGAACGAGUGGCGGACGGGUGAGUAAUGCUUGGGAAUCUAGCUUAUGGAGGGGGAUAACUACGGGAAACUGUAGCUAAUACCGCGUCCCAUAGGAUGAGCCCAAGUGGGUUUAGGUAGUUGGUGAGGUAAAGGCUCGACAAGCAGACGAUCUCUAGCUGGGCUGAGGGGAUGACCAGACCCACGGGGACUGAGACAGGGCACAUACUCCGACGGGAGUCAGCAGUGGGGAAUAUUGCGCAAUGGGGGCAACCUGACGCAGCCAUGCCGGGUGAAUGAAGAAGGCAUUCGGGUUGUAAAGUUCUUUCGGUAGCGAGGCGUUAACUACAGAAGAAGCACCGGCUAACUCCGUGCCAGCAGCCGCGGUAAUAC